rnacentral:rRNA from 1 species
GAUGAACGCUGGCGGCGUGCCUAAUACAUGCAAGUCGAGCGAACAGACGAGGAGCUUGCUCCUCUGACGUUAGCGGCGGACGGGUCAGUAACACGUGGAUAACCUACCUAUAAGACUGGGAUAACUUCGGGAAACCGGAGCUAAUACCGGAUAAUAUAUUGAACCGCAUGGUUCAAUAGUGAAAGACGGUUUUGCUGUCACUUAUAGAUGGAUCCGCGCCGCAUUAGCUAGUUGGUAAGGUAACGGCUUACCAAGGCAACGAUGCGAAGCCGACCUAAGAGGGUGAUCGGCCACACUGGAACUGAGACACGGUCCAGACUCCUACGGGAGGCAGCAGUAGGGAAUCUUCCGCAAUGGGCGAAAGCCUGACGGAGCAAAGCCGCGUGAGUGAUGAAGGUCUUCGGAUCGUAAAACUCUGUUAUUAGGAAAGAACAAAUGUGUAAGUAACUAUGCACGUCUUGACGGUACCUAAUCAGAAAGCCACGGCUAACUACGUG